GCAAUCCUGCUGGUUUGCAGAGGAAGGCAAGAAUGUCCAUCCUUCUUGUGUUUUGGCCUUGUGUCUUCCUAAAAAAUGAGGGAGAAAGAAAAAUCAGUUGCUGUCUCUCUGUUUUCAGCAAAGAAAGGUAUUCUGUUAUCGCCUGGAUCUGCCAGUGAAGAAUUAUAGUGGAAGUCCUCUUCCCCCAGGCUUUGCUCUUUGUGCUUUAAAUAUUGAUUUCUCUUCCCUAGUGUCCUUUUUACUGGAGAGUAUAAACUAUAAACAACGCUUUCUUCUUUAGCUAUUCAAUAACUAUUCUGUAUUGAUCAUGAAUUUGGGCUUUUAGAUGCAGAAUUUUUUACUGAAUUAACUGUGAGAUGUGUCUGUGUGGAUUAUUUUGCUAUCAUGUCAGGCCAAAAUCAAUGUUAAAAGUUGGAAAUUUCUGUUGAAGCAAAAAUUUGAAGGUCUGUGGGGUCCUGGUCCAAUUUUGGUCUUGGGAAGGUUUCAAAAUGAUCGCAGGAGUGAAAUUAAGACACAAAUUACCUCAGACUGUUUUAAUUUUAUGCCUGAAAAUAGAGUGAUAGAAUAAGUGGGAAAAAAUAGGAGAAAAAUUCAGCAAGUAUGCAAGAAGAUAAGCAAGAGAUAGACAGCACCUGGGUCCAGUCGCUGUCUUCUGUUGGUCAGGCCUCAGCUCUCAGGUUCUGGUAGUGCUGGCAGCGCUCUGGUCUCAGUCUUCAGGUUUCGGGUCCUGGUGGUGGGUGGCCACACUCAUGUCUUUUGUCAUGAGGCUUUUAUUGCAGUUGGUGGCAGGUGUUGCCUGGCCAAACUGCCGGCCUGGUCCCAGAUGUUGAUGGCUGAUAUCACUUGAGCUUACACAGGCUUUAAGCAUUUUUUGAAUUUUAGCAGCUCACAGUGAUCAUGCAUUUUCUGCCUCAACUCACUGUAGUUAAGCAUUUACAGCAAGCCCAACAAGCAAGCACCAUGAGUAAGCAUUUUCCUGUCUUGUUAUCCAGAACAAGCAGGCCUUGAGACAAUAAUUCAUAUUAUUUCAGCAAGCAAGCUUUGAGACAAUAAUUCACGUGCUAAGAACCACUGUCUCUCACAAGGUCUUAAAGAAUGAGGAAUUAUGUGAGACGAGUAUGCUUUUCAGUGGAGCUAUGUGUUUGUUUAUAGUAAAUAGCUGUACAUGUGUAUGUACACUCACAUGCACACACAGAAGUCAGGCUAUCUGCAGGACUGUUUGAGUAACACCAGCUGAAGCCGAUUUGAUUAAUGCUGCUCAAAUGGCAGCACCUUUUGGAAUUCUCUUUCAUCUGGCACUUUUAACACGUGGGAAGACUUUUCUUUCCAGUUCCUUCUGUUGGGCAUUUUCUGGACUUGCAUUUCUUCAGUUGUGCCUUUUAAUUGUCGUAUCAUUCAAUAGGCUUUGGACAUGCAAAAUGCUGAGACACAAAAAAGAAUAUCAUAAAUCUACAAGUCUGGCUUUUUCCAUUCAGCACAUGCAACCUUCUGUUUCCUAGGAUAUGUAUCCAUAUAAAACUGUUUUUUUCUCAUCUGCGAAAGAACAGAAUAAGUUACUUAGAUUUCAGUUGAAUGUUCAUUUCCAGCCCUCUGGAGAUGAAUUUCUGAAUCUGACAGUAGAUGCUGUUCCUUUUCUGUUUCUUUUCCUUUUCUUUUAAGCUUUUCAAAUUUAUGAAUAAUAAGUACUAUGUCAACUUCACUAUUUUCUUCAAGGAGCAUGAGGAAGAGAUGCUUACAUGAUCACUAUAGAAAGCAUAUACUCUUCAUCCAAAAAUACAGCUCUGUGGGACAGGAAGUAUCCAGACCUAAGGUUUUGACAACAGCAAAUGAAUGAAACUUUUGCUUCAAAUUGCCUCCUCAGUGCAUCCACUCUUGAUACAGGAAGGAUUUAAAUUGGAAUAGCAUUCAUUUACCCUUCUCUCUGAGAUAAGUGAUCAUAAUGGAAAGUAUGAAUGCCACCUUGAAGGCAAAGAGAAAUACAACCUUCCUGCAGAAGUUUCCAUCUUCUCAGUCACUGUAUAUUUGCUUUUGUGUUGGGGGAACUAUUGUGUUCUGCUCUGAUGGGGCUUAUAUGAUACUUAAAGAACUGUUAACAGAAAUGUGGAGAUGGGUAAUGCCUGCUCUUUAUUAGUUCUUGUCACUUUGUGGCUUUGAAAGGCUUGUUCUCUGUUAUCACAAAAAGGAAACAGCUACCGGUAUGCUUGGCACUAAAGAAAUGCAGAAUGCAGCUCUUUUCCUGGGUAACUACUGAAAACCGUUAUUACAAGCUUUGGGAGGAAUAUAAAUCUAGACACUAUGUAAACCCAA